rnacentral:SRP_RNA from 1 species
GCCGGCGCGGUGGCGCACGCCUGUAGUUCCAGCUACUCCGGAGGCUGAGACUGGAGGAUCGCUUGAGUCCAGGAGUUUGGGACUGUAUUGCGCUAUGCUGAUUGGGUGUCUGCACUAAGAUCGGCAUCAAUAUGGUGACCUCCCGGAAGCAGGGGACCACCAGGUUGCCUAAGGAGGGGUGAACCGGCCCAGGUCGGAAACGGAGCAGGUCAAAAAUUUUAGGGGGGGCUUAAACAUUCAUUGUAAAGCAUACAGUGUGCUUACACUUUCAAAAGGUUAUUUUGAUCCAGCAAAUAAUGUACUCAUGAGUUUAA